UUUUUUUUUUUUUGUGGUACGUGGGCCUCUCACCGCUGCGGCCUCUCCCCUUGCGGAGCACAGGCUCCGGACGCACAGGCUCAGCGGCCACGGCUCACGGGCCCAGCCGCUCCGCGGCAUGUGGGAUCUUCCCGGACUGGGGCACGAACCCGUGUCCCCUGCAUCGGCAGGCGGACUCUCAACCACUGUGCCACCAGGGAAGCCCUGUUAUUUACUCUUAUCCAUCUUGAAUUGCUUUUGUCUGUGGAAAAAUGAAGAUUCCCGUUAUAUUUAGAUUUGACUCUACCAGAGAAAGUAUUUAUUUCAAACAGGCUUAAAUGGAGAAAGCCAAUACCAGUGACUGACCCCCAAGAAAUCUAUACCAUAUUGUUAGUGAUAAGAUUCCUUAAUAGAAGGCUAGGGAGGGUCUAGGUAUGGGGUUGCUUAUCGCAGGCAGGUGAGUUUAUUUCACCGCUGUUGUGAGUGUACUGGAUGCUGCUGGCCCACUGGCCACAUACCUUCUCCUGACUCGUGCAUCCAUCCCCCAGGUACUGUGAGUUUGGGCUGCUAAGCAUUCACAGAUACAUCCUUCUCCAGAGAAUUGCCCUCAGCCCAAAGGGAGCCACUCCACCCAGGGAAUUACACCUAUGCCCCUCCCGACGCCUGGGUCAUAACCAGCAGCCAAUGACUGAUUGACACGGGGUACAAAAGGCUGACCCCCUUGCCUCAAGGUGGGAUCAGCUUUGCGAUGCUAUUUAUGCUGCUGUGCUUCCCCGUGGAAUCAUCCUGAAGUUCAUCUCUGGCUGAGGUCCUCCCCGUGCUUAGUUCCUCCUCCUGCCCUGUUCCUCUCCCUCACUCUUCCUCCUGAGUCCUCCUUCACUAAACCGUAUGCACCCCAAACCCUGUCUCAGGCUCUGCUUCUAGGGAAUGUGAUCUGAGACAGUGAGAAAAUCUAAUUUAAGUAACAUUCUAAUACACAUAAUUUAUAAUCUAAUGUAUGUAACAAACAUGUCUUACAAACUUUGUAGACAUAGACUCAAGAUCAAAGGUUCUAUUUUCAAGAGUUUAAACAAAUGUGUAAUACAUUGUUAACUAUGUUGGAGAGUUUUUUACCCGUAAAUACUGAAACUGUAUUGAGCAGGAUUAUUAGAGAUAAGAAUUUUUUUUUUUUUUUUUGCGGUACCCUGGCCUCUCACUGUCGUGGCCCCUCCUGCUGCGGAGCACAGACUCCGGACACACAGCCUCAGCAGCCAUGGCUCAUGGGCCCAGCUGCUCCACAGCACGUGGGAUCCUCCCGGACCGGGGCACGAACCCGCGUCCCCUGCCUCGGCAGGCGGACCCUCAACCACCGCGCCACCAGGGAAGCCCGAGAUAAGAAUUUUUUAACUUAAGAUAGUUGACCCACCUGGAUGAUAUUUAUUGUUCCUUGUUUUUUGAGGUUUCUGGGGUGUAAAUAUUCUCUAAUCCCCUUUCAUCAUUGUACUGAGAAGAGUAAUGUAACCUCAGGAUUUGGAAUGCUCCGUGUACUUUUGUUCAUGAGAUUUGCCUCUCACGCCUUACCAUUAAAUACCAUGUAGCAUGUUACCUAUAGUCCUUUUCGUUUCAGUCAAAGAGGAAUCAAACUAUUUCCACAGUGGCAUGAAUUCAUUUCAUUCUUCAGAAUGUACCCAGCACCAGCUAUGGAAUAAUACUUCCCUUCCCUCACAAUGAUUAUUUUCCAAGGCAAUACCACUUGGAUCUCAGCAUUUCAUUUUCUUUUCCAUCCCCAGCUUGGCCUCUAAGGAUUUUGAUUAUUCUCUACCUCACAUCUGAAGAAGAGACUCGGUGACUUGCUUCAAGUGGGAAGGCCAGAACCUUCCUUCACGCUCGGAACCGCAAGUUCCAAAGGAAUGUGGACCCACUGUGAAGGUUAAAGCUGACAUCUACUCCUUCAGGAAGCCUUUUCCCAUGGAGGCAUCUCCUGCUAUCAUCCCUGGCCUACAGAAGGCAAGUACUUUUCAGGCAUGCUCAUGCUCUUCUCAUCAGUGGAUUUUUCUUCUGAAACUGGCUUGCAUGGUGACAGAGUUAUCCCUUGAGGGGAGUAGCAAACUCUGGGAAGUCUCCGGAAGAAAUAGCACAUUGAUGGGAAGGCAGAGAGGAAACUUCCCAUGACCUCUGGGAAUCCCAAAGCACACACAGGUGAGGCCCAGGAUCCAGAGGGCCCAUGAUGGUGUGACUGGAGGGGAGCCCUUUGGACCACACAGGACUUCUUCCAGCUGGAGCAAAGCAGCACGUAAAGAUGAUGGCAGUUGGUUCCCUGCAGGUGAAAGAUGAGGUAAUUAG